UUAAAAGCGAUGAUGAAGAGUAGUACACUUGUUCAAGGCUUUUCAGAGAGUUUGUGGUUGGUGAAAACAAACAGCCUGGCAAUUGGAAUGGACUUUUAAGCUUCUGGUUUGAACUUAAGUAGAUCCAGGCGUAUUCCUGCGUUAAAGGAAUCCAUGCUUCACUGAGGCAUGGGCAGAGUGACUCAUUCGUGAGUAAUUAGGGUGGCAACACGGACCAUUCGUCCCUAGA
rnacentral:ncRNA from 1 species